GUCUAUGGCCAUACCACCCUGAACAUGGCUGAUCUCAUCUGAUCUCAGAAGCUGAGCAGGGUCGGUCCUGGUUAGUACUUGGAUGGGAGAGAGU
ensembl:rRNA 5S_rRNA 5S ribosomal RNA